GAAGACCAGCUUUGAAAAAGACCUGUGAAUGGAAAGAGUUGCAGAUCACAAGCUUUAAUAAAGUUCAAAGGGACAGGAAUAGCAUCAGAAUUAAAAUAAAAAGCAGUGAAUAAUAUAGUUGCCGCAAAAUAUGGUUUCGGAAAUGCAAAACCAACCUUCUCGAUGAGCUCGAUGCAGGCAGCCAGGUCCAUCCCGAAGUCGAUGAACGUCCACUCGAUGCCUUCCUUCUUGUACUCCUCCUGCUCCAGCACGAACAUGUGGUGGUUGAAAAACUGUUGCAGUUUCUCAUUGGUGAAGUUGAUGCACAGCUGCUCCAGGCUGUUGAA